rnacentral:siRNA from 1 species
AAGAAAAUGACAUGUGUCAUUCUA